UACGGAGGGUGCGAGCGUUGUCCGGAAUCAUUGGGCGUAAAGGGCGCGUAGGUGGCCCGGUCAGUUCGUGGUGAAAGCGCGGGGCUCAACCCUGCGUCGGCCAUGAAUACUGCCGCGGCUCGAGCACUGUAGAGGCAGGCGGAAUUCCGGGUGUAGCGGUGGAAUGCGUAGAGAUCCGGAAGAACACCGGUGGCGAAGGCGGCCUGCUGGGCAGUUUUGCUGACACUGAGGCGCGACAGCGUGGGGAGCAAACAGG
rnacentral:rRNA from 1 species